AACGAACGCUGGCGGCGUGCCUAAGACAUGCAAGUCGUACGGAAAGGCCCCCUUCGGGGGGUACUCGAGUGGCGCACGGGUGAGUAACGCGUGGGUAAUCUGCCUUAGGGUCUAGGACAACCCCGGGAAACUGGGGCUAAUACUGGAUAAGACCACGAGCUCCUCGGAGCUUGCGCGAAAAGAUGGCCUCUCCUUGGAAGCUAUCGCCCUUCGAUGAGCCCGCGUCCCAUUAGCUAGUUGGUGAGGUGACGGCUCACCAAGGCUUUGAUGGGUAGCUGGUCUGAGAGGAUGAUCAGCCACACUGGAACUGAGACACGGUCCAGACUCCUACGGGAGGCAGCAGUCGGGAAUUUUGGGCAAUGGGCGAAAGCCUGACCCAGCAACGCCGCGUGAGGGAUGAAGGCCCUCGGGUCGUAAACCUCUGUCGGGAGGGAAGAACGGUCGCCGUUCGAACAGGACGGGAGCCUGACGGUACCUCCAAAGGAAGCACCGGCUAACUCCGUGCCAGCAGCCGCGGUAAUAC
rnacentral:rRNA from 1 species